CGGCCUAGGCGCGUCGCGUCGCGUCGCCACUGCUGCAGCGUAACGUAGAAACUCAGUCCGACGGCGGCGCCGCACCAGACGUACGUAUCAGGACGCGCCUUUACGUGGUCCACCGAUCAAACGUCCGAUUCCGUUCGAUUCCCUUGUGCGUCGUCGAGCGAGAAAACUGAAAGAAAGUACGUUCAAACGGCAAGACAACAAGGAAGAGACUACACCGAAUCACCCCGAGGAAGACGACAACGAGAUUUUAACAAGGAAACAGGAAGAUCGAGGCGUACGAUUGAAAAUCCAAAGCGAGGACUCGGUUUUGGAGAUUGUUCCACUUGUUCGGAGGAAAGCGUGAAGAAGUUACCGAUCCGAAGUUCCCGUGAUCGCUGUCGUGAUCACUGUUUACCAAGUUACUCGGAGGAUUUUCCGCGAGCAUUUCGAAAGAGGUUGCGAGACACCAAGAGAGAGAGAGAGGCAGAGAGAAAGAGUUGAUCUUGGGGAACGAAAGGGGCGACAGUCGGUGCACCGAGUGCCUUUUACCUUUACUGUUUUCGUUCCGCGGGACAGGACACGUUUGGUACCGCCCCUCUGGGCGGCUCCUGACCCCAAGGAUCCUCGGCCCGAACUGACGGACUUCUCUUCACGCGACCCCGCGACCGGUACCAGGAUGCUUUCGUCCUCGAGAGCUUUCCCGCCGCUUCUCUUCGUGGCGCUCUUCGCCUGCAUCGGGGUAGCACACGGCAUCAGAUGUUACAAAUGCGGUGAGUACAACGACGGAAUCGGCAGCGUCACGCCGUGCAUCAAUUACACCGCGCACAUGCAUUUGAAGGAUUGUCCGCCCUCGGUCGAAUGGUGCAUCAAAUACAUCAGCGAGGGAUCGAUAGUGCGAGACUGUGUGCCCAAAUGUGAAGAAAAGGAGUCCUGGAGCACGAGGACGUACUGCUGCCAGCAAGAUGGCUGCAACUCCGGCCCGUCGUUGACGUCCAGCAGCACCAUGGUAUUCCUCAUGGUAGCGAUGGUCGCCCUCCUCGUCGGGCGGACGCUUCGUGGCUAAUAUGUCGCUAGAAGCGACGAGCAGCCCGCGAACGGAAGCACCGGGAUCCAUCAAACGCGAGAACAAGCGAGGAAGGAAGCAGCGACCACAACAGAUUGUUCAUCCGCGACACGUUUUACUUUCGGUUUUCGCACGCGAUCGAAGCAUAUCUCGGGACGAAACGAGUGCGCCAUUUUCUUCUCAGGCUAACCAGCGUUCGGUCGAUCGGUCGAUCGGCCGAUCGAUCGAUCGCCCGUCAGGGGGAUAAAAGAAUUCCUAAACAACUGAGAGAUCGAGAGAAACACACACAGAAAUUAAAAAGAAAACAGUAGAUCGAGGGAAGAUCCAAAGUAAAAGAGACCGAAGCGAGAGAAAGAAGGAGAAGAAGAAGGGAAAGAGGAAUACGAGAUAGAGCGCGGAUAACAAAGAAAAACCGAGGAAAAAACGAUUCAUCCUAGCCGAUAAGCGCGUGCAGCGAUCACAAGUAGGGAAUAAAUCUACCUGUUUCACUGAACGAAGGUAGCAGACAGAGAUUCUAGCGAUUAUAUACCUGUUCUUCGAGUAUUAGCGCGCGAGAGGGGGAGAGAGAUGAUUUAUCUAAAGUUAGCUCGAGUCUAGCGGUUAAAUGUUAAGACAACCUACAAUCCGUUUCCCGUCACGGGCGUCAGCCGAUCGAACGUCGUCGUUUCAGUGACGAAGGAACGAUUCGGGGCGGACGGGUAUCAGCACCGAGGAAGAUCAAGACGAAGUUGAUGACGAUCGCGGGGAAAAUAUUCCGGGACGCGUCUGAUGGCGGCUGUUCGUCAUCGUCGCGUCACGGAGCUGUUGCCUGAAAAUUGAAUGGAUCAGGGCAUCGGGGAAUUUGCUAAUGAUUAUUAGGUCGAAGAUGCGUUGAAGAAUGUGGAGAACGAAUUUGUGGGCGACGUUUCAUGUGACGUAAGGUUACGGUAUUUCACGUGAUUUUUAAUGUUGAAAUUUGAUUUCCUGCGACGUGACGUACGAUGACGUUGACACUAGGAAUUUCGUCAUGACAUUUUUUGUGUGAAUUUUAUAUGGCGCUGUUCAUUUUGAAUGAUUCGUUGUAGCAAUUUGGAUACUUAAUAUGAUUGAAUUUAGAAUCUCCUGUGACAAUGUUGGUUGAAAUUUUGUUGUUAGUCUUUCUGAAAUAACGUCAUAUGACGUAUAACGUUGAUAGUCCACAAUGUGACGUCGAAAUUGCAUCAUGCGACGACACAUUUGAAACCGUGAUCAGUGGAUUUCAGAGAUCGACCAGCAAUAAAUCGUUGAAAUCUUCGUUAAAGUAAGGGAUGAUUAUGGAUUAAAUUGGAUACCGUGAAUUCCGGUAAUUCUAUCGUGAAUAACAAUCGCGAUCGAAAGCGUCACGCGGGCUAUGAUCGUCGAGAAUCACCAUCGACAAGCUUCGCUUACAUUUUAUCCAUGUAUUUUUAUAACGCAAAGUGCAACAUAGGGACGCGUCGAUUUGAAUUCUGCAAUCCUAUUCGCCGGGGUUCGUCGACGGUUCCGGCUCGACGCUUCGAACGCUGGAAUUAUUAUCUCUGCCCUCGAUUAUCCGGAAAAAUCAGGCGAAAUAAACUCAAAACUGAAGGAGGAUGCUAAAUUAAAGACUCUUAAAUGAAAUGGAAGCUUCUAAACAACUCUUAACCCCUUGACGUACACGUCUUCGCGGUACAUACGCUAUGGAGAAAUUUCGAGUGAAAUAUAUUAGAUUUGUUUCUAUUAUUAGCAAAAUAUAGUUAAUUCAAUUUUUGGUUACGAAAGCUUCUCACUUAUGUAAAGAGAGUGAAAGUAACUUUGAAUUUGACACGUUCUAUGCCAUGCCACCGGUGAUCCCCAACCAAAUCGAAUCACUGUAAUUCACUCAAACGACGAUUAUUUAGAUAUAUUUCUAUAUUAUAAAUAAUGCUACCUAAUGCGGUGAUGUUCAGCUAGAUGAACGUGCGAUAAUAAUAACGCAACUCGAUCAAAUGACUUAAUAUUAUAUUUCUUCCAUUUUGUGUAUUUUGCUCUAUGAAACCGUGCGGCGUUCAACGUGUUAAAUAAGUUAGCAAGCUUCUGUUAGGGGAUGAUAUUAGUUACCGUUAAGGGGUUAAAUGAAAAAAGAGAUCCCGGGGUAGGAACUUGAAGAAACUCUGCCUCGAAACGUUCCGCGUCGAAAUCACGUGAAAAGCGAAACAAGAGAGAUAGAAGGUAAAGCUCUUUCUUCUAAAACCCAAGAAAAGAACACGGAUAAGAGAGAAACGGGUCGAGAAGCUGUUAAAGGAUCAUCGAAGUUGACCUACCGACAAGACGCGCACGCGCGAGAACGUUUUCUUUUCUCUCCGUUUUAUUUCCCACUUUAUGACGGUACGCUUCGGACUUGCCGCGGACAUCCCGCGCGAAGGAUGGUCGGGUUCUGGGCGAUUUCUCAUUUAGCACGUAAGGUUUUAAAGUUGGGGGAUCACUUGAUGGCUAGGUUGAGGUAUGCGGGCUUGAUUGGUCUGUUUUCAUCCGUUCUGAUUUCAUUUUUGAUGCUUAUUUUAUAUUCGUUGAUACGGUUACAGGGAAUCAGUGUUAUAAACUGCUUGAGUUCUGCGAGCUUCGAGACUGGACUUAAUCUGAAACUUAAACUUUGAGUCUUGAAAGCUUAAAGUAUUAUCAAGCUCAAGUCCUUGAAACCUUGAAGCUUCAAAGUUCUAUAAGUUUGAGUAUUGGAAGUAUUAAGGUUCAACUUUGAAAGCUAAGUCUUGAAAGCUGUAAGUUCUAUCAAGCUCAAAUCUUUGAAACUUUGGAGCUUCAAAG